GCUCACUCGCGCGCUAGUCUUCAGUCAUCUUGCAAAGCUCGAUGCGCGCGGUCGUCUCCUGUGUGUCGGACAUUAAUCGAAUUUUCACGUACGGAGCUAAACUUUUGAUGUGACUGUGUCAAAGUGCUUGUGUUUUUCAACUUUUGGUGACGUUUAGUGUUGUAAACUGGUACAUUGGAGGCUGUACUGACUUUCAGUGAGGUUGCAGAUCUCUGGUGCGGGAUUUGUGUUCAUUCCCAGAAGUUGAAACUAAUGGAUCCCAAUAAGAGGAGUUGAGCUUGUCGGUGAAACAUGAGUCUCGCCGCCAUUGCGUUUUGGCGCGAAAUGCCAAUCGCGGUCAUCUUCCUACUGACAACAGUGUGUCUCGCUACAGCCAAAGAUAUUGUUUUGGAUAAAGACUACACACGCGUAGAAGUUGCAGUAAACGAGCGGUUACGACUGUUGUGUGGCAUGAAACCCAGCAUUGAAAAGUCAUCAGUGCUGUGGUAUAAAGAUGGCGUCCUCGUUGACAGUCAGAGGAGCAGAUACGUGCAACAAAAAC